rnacentral:rRNA from 1 species
AGUGAACGCUGGCGGUAGGCCUAACACAUGCAAGUCGAACGGCAGCACAGUAAGAGCUUGCUCUUACGGGUGGCGAGUGGCGGACGGGUGAGGAAUACAUCGGAAUCUACUUUUUCGUGGGGGAUAACGUAGGGAAACUUACGCUAAUACCGCAUACGACCUACGGGGGAAAGCAGGGGAUCUUCGGACCUUGCGCGGUUGAAUGAGCCGAUGUCGGAUUAGCUAGUUGGCGGGGUAAAGGCCCACCAAGGCGACGAUCCGUAGCUGGUCUGAGAGGAUGAUCAGCGACACUGGAACUGAGACACGGUCCAGACUACUAAGGUAGGCAGCAGUGGGGAAUAUUGGACAAUGGGCGCAAGCCUGAUCCAGCCAGACCGCGUGGGUGAAGAAGGCCUUCGGGUUGUAAAGCCCUUUUGUUGGGAAAGAAAAGCAGCAGGUUAAUACGCCGCUGUUCUGACGGUACCCAAAGAAUAAGCACCGGCUAACUUCGUG